rnacentral:rRNA from 1 species
GCAUAUCAAUAAAGCGGAGGAAAAGAAACUNACAGGAUUCCCCUAGUAACGGCGAGUGAAGCGGGAAGAGCUCAAUUUUAAAUCUGGCGGUCUCCGGCCGUCCGAGUUGUAAAUUAUAGAAGCGUUAUCUGUGCCGGACCUGUCAUAAGUUGUCUUGAAUGGCAUAUCAGAGAGGGUGAGAAUCCCGUGCUUUGGCAGGACCACCGGGGCUAUACGAUGCGCUCUCGACGAGUCGAGUUGUUUGUGAUUGCAGCUCCAAAUGGGAGGUAAAUUCCUUCUAAAGCUAAAUAUCUUGGGAUGACCGAUAGCGAACAAGUACCGUGAGGGAAAGAUGAAAAGAACUUUGGAAAGAGAGUCAAACAGUACGUGAAAUUGCUGGUGGGGAAACGCUUGAAGUCAGUCGCAUCCUCUGGGACUCAGCCUCGCUCCUGCGUGGUGUAUUUCCUGGUUGAUGGGCCAGCGUUCAUUUUGGUCGUCGGAAAAGGGCAGCUCGAAUGUGGCAGCUUCGGCUGUGUUAUAGCUUGCUGUCGUACACCUCGGCCGGGAUGGAUCUAACGGCACGCCCCAGUGGUGCCUUUGUUGGCGAAAUGGCUUUAAACGACCCGUCUUGAAACACGGACCAAGGAGUCUAUCUUGCGCGCGAGUCUUUGGGUGGAAAACCCAUGGGCGUAAUGAAAGUGAAAGUCGGGAAUCCUUACGGAGGCACCGACGCCCGCCGCUGAAGUUUACGGACGCUGGUGAGGCAGAGCGUGUAGGAUGGGACCCGAAAGAUGGUGAACUAUGCCUGCAUAGGGUGAAGCCAGGGGAAACUCUGGUGGAGGCUCGUAGCGAUUCUGACGUGCAAAUCGAUCGUCGAAUGUGGGUAUAGGGGCGAAAGA